AUUGAACGCUGGCGGCAUGCUUUACACGUGCAAGUCGAACGGUAACAGGCCGCAAGGUGCUGACGAGUGGCGAACGGGUGAGUAAUGCAUCGGAACGUGCCCAGUCGUGGGGGAUAACGCAGCGAAAGCUGUGCUAAUACCGCAUACGAUCUAUGGAUGAAAGCGGGGGACCGUAAGGCCUCGCGCGAUUGGAGCGGCCGAUGUCGGAUUAGGUAGUUGGUGGGGUAAAGGAUAACCAAGCCAACGAUCUGUAGCUGGUCUGAAAGGACGACCGGCCUCACUGGGACUGAGGAACGGCCUGGAAUACUAUGGGAGGAAGGAGUGGGGAAUUUUGUACAAUGGGCGCAAGCCUGAUCCAGCAAUGGCGCGUGCAGGAAGAAGGCCUUCGGGUUGUAAACUGCUUUUGUACGGAACGAAAAGGUUUGGGUUAAUACCCUGGGCCGAUGACGGUACCGUAAGAAUAAGCACCGGCUAACUACGUGCCAGCCGCCGCCGUAA
rnacentral:rRNA from 1 species